CUUCCGUCAAAUACGGAAAAGAUGCAGUCGCCAUUUUACAUCGUCGAUUUUUACGUCGUGUGUGUGCACUGCAGUUACUUUGCGAGUUGAAUUCUUACUACGUGGGCGUAAAACGUUUAGUGGCAUAUUUUUAUUAAUUUUUAAUUGGUAAAAGUUGAUAAGAGAAUAUGGGACGCAAAAAGAAGAAGCAAUCAAGACCCUGGUGUUGGUAUUGUAAUAGAGAAUUUGAAGAUGAAAAGAUUCUUAUACAACACCAGAAAGCAAAACAUUUCAAAUGCCACAUAUGUCAUAAGAAGCUUUAUACGGGACCAGGACUUAGUAUACAUUGUAUGCAGGUACAUAAAGAAGCGAUAGACAAGGUACCUAAUUCUUUGCCGAAUCGAAGCAAUAUUGAAAUAGAAAUUUAUGGUAUGGAAGGCAUACCACCAAACGAUGCGAAAGAGCAUGAAAGACAAAGAAAUGGAGGUAGACCUGGCUCACCAAGUUCUGGCGAAGAUGAACCAGUUCGAAAAAAAACAAAACCAGAAGGUUUAUUAGGUUCUGCACCAGGAGCAAUGCCUACAGGUUCCAACAUGAUGCCAGGUGUAAUGCCAGGUAUGGCAGCUCAUCCUGGUAUGCCACCAAUGGGAUCGUUCCCACCACCCAUGCAUCAUAUGAUGGGACCUAUGGGUCCUGUAGGUCCACCUUUUAUGGGUCCUGGUAUGAUGCCUGGAAUGCCAGGUAUGCCUCCAGGUAUACAACCACCAGUAUCUGGUGCAUCCAUACCACCAACACGACCAUUAUUUCCAAGUGCUGCAGCUGUUUCAACAACUGCGUCUACAUCUGUGACUUCUCCUUUGGGUACAGAUUUUAAACCAAUUACGUCAGUGGCUGGUGGAUCUAUAGGACCUGUGAAGCCAACAUUCCCUGCAUAUAGUAAUACAGAUAGUAGUACCACUACUAACAAUAAUAUUGGUAGUGAUCAAAAAGUAAAUCUUAUAGCCACUACUAGUGCUGCCAUUAAAAUCAUUCAUCCGCCAGAAGAUCUCAGCUUAGAGGAAAUUAGAGCAAGACUUCCAAAAUACCAGCGGCGACAAACGCAAGAAACUCGAACUGUGCAAACUGCUGAUGCCAAUCAGCAAGCUGCUGUAUUACAACAGCAGCAGCAGCAACAACAACAGCAGCAACAGCAACAACAAGCUGCUGUUGCUAAUGCAGCUGCUGCAUUUCAGGAUCAGCAACAGCGACAACAAGCGGCAUUAAAUGCACUUCAGCAGCAACAGCAGAGAUUUCAGCGACCUCCACAAGCAGUAAUGGUUCCUGCAUCUGCAGCAAUGCCUGUUAGUUCCGUUGCACUGAUGGCACCGCUUAUGCGGCCCACUAUGACCCUAGCUGCACCUGCUCUGAUUCAUGGAGGUAACAUGAUGCGACCGCCCCCCAUGGGCCUACCACCAGGGCGCCCAGUCACUCCUUGGUGAGUGUUGAACGAACCCAGUCUGGUUACUAAAAUCGUGUAUUAUACAAACGCAACAAGGUGGGUCGAGCGGCCAACGAUAUUGCAUCUGUUCUGAUUCCUUCAACGCCGGACAACAACACUUUAAUUUUGGACACACGACUAUUUGGACGUGAAAUGCCUCUUCUUGAAACUAGUGUACUCGGUAUCAGAAGUACGAUCACACUAGAUUUAUGGUUAAAAGCAGGCACAUGUGUAUAUAAUAUAUAUACAUAUACAUAUGCCUGUUUUUCAACUAUGAUAGAGAACUACGCGUUAUAUACAUAUAUACAUAUAUAUUCAUCGAUCGGUAAAAGCAAUGUGAAAUUAAUUCGAUUUUCGGCCGCUCGGCUGGUUCAUCGUACACACAAUCUUUUUUCUUUUCUGUUCCACUAGCCUCAUUAUUCACUAUCUCGACUUAACCAUGUUCUUCUUAGGACUCACUUGCCAUUAUCUCGCCAACCGUGUUUUAUCAUCCUACCUUCUCAUGUUUAUAUAUGAAAUCCUGGUGUUGUGAUAUAGUAGUGAAAAAAACGCUUUUUGGGCACGGUACUGACAGUCGUUCGAAGUUGUCAUACUAAAUAAAAGAUAAGGAAAACAAGAAAGGGGGAAAAAGCAGAAAAAACAAAAAGCUGAUGCAUAAUUUCGAUGAUAACUAUUCCUUCUUUCCUUCUUUAUAUUUCUUCAAGGGCUUCAAAGUUUUUUAGUUUCAGAUUAAAAGUAAAAUAUGAAUUGCUACUUCUAUGAUUCUAUAUUAUUUAUUAUUUAUUAUUAUAUCAGCAUUGUUGAUAUCAACAAAUUUGUUCUUCUACAUCGUUUUUCACAAAAACUUCUCAUACCUUUUUAAACAAAUUUUUUAAAUGAAAUAUAUAUGAAGUAUAUUACAACAAAAAAGACGAAGGAAGGGAUCAUUUGUUAUUGUCACUAUUUUUGUUGUUGUUGCGUGUAUUAUAAUAGAAAAGAGACGCAACAAGAACGAACGUAAUGUAUCUCCCUCACACCAUAGCCUACCUUUUGUGUCACACAGAUGAUCUUAGAUAUUUCAAGUCAAGUUACAGUAAGUAAAUAAUUUCACGUUAUCCAAUAUAUACAAAAGUAUAACUCGUAUAUAAAUCCAAAUGCAGCUGUUUCUUAUACGUAUAUUAAAUGAUAGACGAUGAUGAGACAGUCUAAUUUAACAUUGACGAAGAAGGGGAUUACAAUUUUUUCGGAGUUAUAUCACGUAAGAGUGAAUACUAUUGAUUAGUAUGAAAUUAUAAGCAAAACAAAUUUUUGAAAAAUAGGAAUUUGAAUUUGAAUAAUACAAAAAGACCUAUUAUGUACAGGGUGUCUACGAAAUACACAAAAAAAUGUAAGAACGUUUUUUAUUGUUCCUUUUUCGUAGAUUAUGAUGUAUAUAGUAAAUUUUUCGUUUAAAGUUUUCAAGGUUAUUUGGAGCUCGUUUUGCAUCUUUUAAAUGGACCGCCAUAUGUUAUAUGAUAAAAAAGCAAAAGGUCAAAAUUCAAAACGCCCUCAUGUGGUUUUGAAUCAAUGCAAAGUCACAAUAGAGAUGAUACCGUAGAAACGAACAAGUUUUACUUUUUAUUUACUUUGUUUCUGCGCAAGAAUAACUAUUUCUUGUAACAUAUUUGCACACGCACCCGUAAUUCGACUCUUCAUAUUUUUCAUGUAUCCUCAAUAUAUCCUCACAAAAAAAUCUAAGGUAUUAAGUCCGGGUCAUCUCGCAGGCCAAUUAUUGUGUUCCACUACAUCCAGUCCACAGCUUGGAAACUUGUGUAAGCUAGAUUCAUAAUUUUAAAGCGAUGCAAAUGUUGUCACAACAGAUUGGAAAUUAUUGUAAAAAUUUUUGGACCAGUUUGUAGUUACUUUCGCUUAAAGUAAAUGAUUUUCCACGUGUCAGAAUAAAUGUAUCCAACAUAAAUAGUUGCUUUUCGUUUUCAAACAUAAUACUGCUGUGUUUAGUAGUUAAUGUGCUAAUUUUGAACGUACAAUGCAAACAAAGGGAGUAAAAGAUAAAAAAAAUCUCUAUCCUUGUCUGUUCAAACAUUUUCUCUAUUACGACCUUACAUUCAUUCAACAUCAUUUGAAAGUAGCGUUUUGAAUUCGUUGUGUUUUACUCUUUUAACAUAUGAAAAUAGAAGUAUGACAUCCCAUUUUAAAAAUGCAAAAUGUCCUUCAAAUAAUUUUGGAAAUUUCAAACGAAAACUUGUUUAUUUAAAUCGUCAUAAUCCAUGUGAAAAACAAUACAAAAAAUUUACAUCUUUUCAUGUCAUCUACCGUUUGGCUGUUAUUUCAAAUGGCAGAGAUUUGUAGUCACCCUAUAUAUAUAAAAUAUAAAACAUGCAUUCACAUUAUUACAAUUCUUUGAAAUUAAUAAAAAUCAUACAUAAAAUUACUGUAGAAAAGAAAAAUUAUCGUUUAAUAUCUAUUUUAUCAUCCUGUAUUUAUUCGUAGAUGCUUUUUUAUCAUAUCUAGUGCUUUGAAAGUUCGGCUGGCAGCCGAGCGAUUCGCUUAAAUUAUGAAAACUAAUCGUCAAGUGAAACUUCUCGUUUAUGGUGUGAGGUUUUACGCGGCAUCACUUUUAGGAUUUUGUUAUGACUUGUAUUGCAUAUGCGGCACAUUGCAUGCUGAGCUCGAUUCCUUAUAUAGUUUGAUCAUUUGCAUUGAUAAAAUGUUAGAUAGACGUAGGUGUGCUGCAAAUAAUGAACCCUUCUGGGUAUACAAUGUAGUCCUAGAAAACUUGAGACUAUAUGAUUUAAUCAUUUUGCAAAAGAGUACGUAUCGGACAAAUACAAGUUAAUUCAGAGACAAUACCACUUGGUAUUUUGAACUCUCUUUCUUUUGGUUUACCUUGGGUUCUAUUUUAAGAACUUGUCUAACAAUUUAAUCUAAAUUUGAAUUUAUCGUCGAAAUCUUUUGAUUUAUUAAGAAAUUUGUUUGCGAAUGUUGUUCGAGGAAGUGCUAUCGACCGGCUGUCAGACAACUUUCCGUCCAGAAGGAUAACAAUUCUUUUAGAUUAAUUCAAAAUGCAUUGAAAGAAAUAAGAUUAGAACGUAUCGUAAUUAAUAUAUAUAUAUAUAUAAUUUUUAUUGAAAAAAGAUAACGUUAAUAAAUCGAUAGUUAAAUUUGAAAGUAUCCUUUACAAAUUUCGUAACUAUCUUGCGAGAUAUACUUUUCUACCGAAUGACGAGGCGUGAUCUCUAAAGAGAAAUCCUAGAAAUAAAUAUACAAUUUUGACCGAAUUUGAGAAAGAAGAUGGAAUAUAAAGAGAGGAGAAGAAUGUGUGCGUUCGUAACAUACGCGCAUGCGCGUGCGCUUACGCAUAGAUACACAGACACACAUGUAAUUUCAUUUUAUUUAUGUUUGACGAGUAUUCUCCCGACGUAAGUAUCAUAAGAAGAUUUUUACAGAUUGUUGAAAACCUGUGAUAUAAGAGAUGUAAAAAAAAGGAAUGGCAGAGAGAAAUGAUAGAAUUAUCAGGGAUAUAUGAAAUUGACGGUGAAAUUGUCGUUUACAGGGAUGAUCGGAGCUUUGCCGCCAGGAGCGAUGCAUCCGGCAUUCGCAGCUCCAAUGGGGUUUCCUGGUGCACCAAUGUUAGCUCCGAUGAUGCAUCCACGCUUCAGAUGAUCACCUCCUAUGGACGGGCCCACUCCGCCAUUGCACUUCGUGCUCUGGGCCCGCCCCUAAAUUUUAUUAGGGUCCGGACCUGACUGAGAAGAAGAGACAAGCACGCGUAAAACACGUUAGCUCACGUGGGCACACUUCGUUGAUCGGCCGCGGCUGCACUUGACGCAUCCCCUCCUACGAAGUUUACACGAAGUUAGCAAAAUCUUUGUUUUUUUUUCUAAUAUCAUUAUAAACCACAUCACGUCAGUGCCUGAGAGGGUUUACCAGGUGCAGUGGAAACGGUCAGUCGUUCCUUUUCCAGACUUUCUCUGCCAGUAAAAAGUUAUCGAAUAACAAAUCUUUUUAACUUUUAUACAUGGUGUGUGGUCGUGCGCGUGAUAUCUGCACAACGUCGUAACUUCUUCCCGAAGGAGUUUAAAAUCUCAGGUGAGCAACGACAUCUACUCUUUUUUUCUAUUAUAAAAAUAAUUUUGUUGUUUGUCUAGAAGGCAUCAAAUGUUUGAUCCUUCGGAUUACCCUUUUUAUGGAUACUUGUUGUUACAUUAUCUGAGUACCUGGUAUUGAAAUUGUAGUUAUUGAAAAGGAUGGGGUGAUAUAAUGUUGUUAAUGGCUGUAUGAGCACGAAAGCUUCUGCGUAGAAAACUCGUACGCUACUAAUACAGAAACUUUAUCGUUGCAAAGUCACGUAUGAGGAAUUUUACGUUGCUCAUCGCGAUCGCGAUACGCGAUUGUGAAAUCAGUUCUGGAAGGUGUGUAGGCUUUCAGCUGAUUCGUCUAAGUAGAACGAACUUCUAUAAGAAUUUUGGCAGUUUCUUUUAUUUUACGGUAGACCGUUUCCACGCGCUGUUUCUCAGCCUCUGCACCAGUGUUCUCUUGGAGAGACGCGAUCGCGGAAAGGUGGCGUUUCACACUGCAGCUGAGAAAAGGGGGGAGACAGAGAAAAAGUGAGAGAGUGCGCGCGUGUGUGUGUAUGCGUGCGAGGGAGAGAGAGAGAGAAAGAGAGAGAGAGAGAGAGAGAGAGAGAGAGAGAGAGAGAGAGAAAGAAAGAAAGAGGGAGAGAGAUUGCUUGACUCAAAUAUUUCAAUCCAUCAUAUAUAUUUUUUUUUUUUUUUUUACCAAAAUCCAAUUUUAUCCGUUUUACUAAGUGUGUAUUAUGUACAUAUAUGUACAUAGCAACACACACACACACACACACACACUAACCGUGUGCAGCUCUUGAUUUCUAUAUGCUUUGUAACACAUCAAAAUCGUCUGAUUUGAUUUCCGUGUUUCAAGAAUAUUAGAAGAUACAAGCCGCAGUGUGAAUAUUCUGUCGCCUCAGGUUAGUUUAUCACAACUUUUAUUUUGUUAACGCCCCAGAUCGAAUCGAUUUACUUUUUCGAUAUAUGUUCAUUCAUAUAUUCUUUGUUUACAUUUUUUUAUGAUGUCUUUAUUCGUUCCUUUCGUGUUCUGUUUACUUGUAAUAGUGAAUUUUCAUAAGAUAUUUUAUUUUCACGAGAAGGAUAUGGAGAUUUUCGUAAUAUUUGGCAACAUAUGGAUAUAUGUGCGUAUGUCACUGUAUCAUCUAGCUUGCAUAUUUUAAAUAUUUCCAUCGUUAUUAACUGCAUAAAAAAUACUUUAUAUACUAGAUUGACCAAGAUGAGGGAGCAACUAUAACUAUAAAAUUUUGUUUAAAAUCUUUUCCUCGAGAUUUCAAAGAAUUAUUAGUAUCUUUUCAAAACACUGCUAUAUCUUUUUACUUGUAUAUUUGUAAAGGUAAUGAAAAGAUACAAGUUGAUUUAGAUACUGAAUAAUAACGGAAGAAUAACAUUUUAAGAUCAGUUGCAUUUCUAUUGUAAUAUUUAAAUAAAAAUAAUAACUUAAGAAAAUAAUUUAUUUCUAAUAUGAAAAAGUACAUAAAACUAAUAGUUGUUUUAAGUAUCUGUACUUUGAUAUUUUAAAAUAGCAAAAAGCAAAAAUUUAUUCAAAUAUAAUUAAAUAAUAUAAUAAUAUAAAUAUAAAUUAAAUAAUUUAUAAUUAAAUUAAUUUUAUUUAUAAAUUAAAAUUUAUUAAAAUAUUUAUUUGUUUCAAAAUAAUAUGCAAUCCAGAAAUUAAUAGUUGAAAUCUUGGGAGAUUGGGUUUAAACAAAGUUUGUUGCAAUAUUUGUUCGUGCAAACCAGAAAUUUGAAUUGUUUUCUCACAGAAUCAGCAAAGACAGAAGCAAAUAUUUUAAGAAUUAACGCGGUUAACUUUUUAUAUUUUUAUGUAUAGAUAUCUAUCUCUACACAUUUUUAUACAUUUUUGAACAAAAUUCAAUCAUCUUUUAUGAUUUUAUUUUUGAUUUAUUAAAUCAUUUCUUAUACCUAACGAGUUAUUUUCUCUCAUCUUUUUGUAAAAGUUGUUACAACAGUAGAAAUUAAAAUUAAAAUGAAUUCUUGUUUACAUACUCUAACGUUGAUUAAACAAAUAAUUUUAUCUUGUUGUUUAAAUAAUGUGUACUUCUAUCUGGAAACUUUAGAUAAAUUCAUUUGUUGUCAUCUUUUACAAAAAUGACGUAUAAUUUAAUAUUUUAUUACUUAAAUUUUCUUCCUUUCAAGAAGCGAAAAAUAUGAUAAAAUGAAAUUAUAUAUUUCGAAUCCGUGGUAAUAAAUCAAUUUUUUUUUUCCGGUUUAUAUUUCAUUAUUUCAUUUGUUAACAUAUAUAGAAACAGUAUACUGUUUUUAUAUUACAGAAAAUAUUUUUGAUUCAUCUUUAUAAAGACAUGCGUAAAUUUUUUACUGAAAUAAAGUUCGACGAUUUGAUGAUAUUACUUUUAAAUUGUGCCGUUAUAGAAAACCGAAAUUGAUUUUAUGAAUUGAAUUACGAGAUGAUCGAAGAAACAGUAAUGAGAUAUUAUUACAUUGUGACAUUUGCAUGUUGAGAAGAAAACGAAAUGAUAAAAAGUUGAUCGUUAUUCAGAUGUAAAAUAUUUGCUUCUGUCGUUUUGGUUUCAUUUAGAAUAGAAUUACAAGUGACUGGUUAACAUAUUCAUGACGUAACUUGUAAUUAGCAAGUAAUAUUACGGGAUGAUUAUCUCUCGAAGUUUGUGCAAUUUAAAUUAUGAUAAUGUUUAAAUUAUGAUUGUAAUUUGUUGGCCCCGACAAGAAGUAGAAGUGAUCGAUUCGAUCUGUGAAGCCCUCUUCCUUUGCAAGGAACGUGUUGGCAACACAUGAGUGAGUGGUAAGUACGGAGGGUGCUCAGGAAAACCGAUAUCAGCUCUCUCUACACUCGACUCACACCGGUUUUUCUUUACUUUACCCUAGGCCAAAUUACCGAUGUUCCGAUCGUCGAGUAUUUAUAGUUGUUUCGACAUUGUUAUUUAUACAUAUGUGUAUAGAAACAUUGUGUAGAAACAUUCGUUUCAGUGAUUCAGCAGGUAUAAAUGUUAGUAAUCAAACAUAUUAGUGUUGAGUUUCGUUCUAAACAACAAACUCUCUACGAUCGGAUAAGACUCGAUUCAUCGGAAAAAUUCCUAUUUUCUCUCUUUGUCUCUUCCACAUUAUUAUUACUAUUAUUAUUAUUAUUAUUAUUAUUUCUUUAUUUUCUCUUUUAUCAUUUUAUUAUUUCUUCAGGGUGUCUAUUGAUAGGAAAACGAAACCAUCUUUAUGCAAAACCAUUGUAGAUAUAUUUAAGUUCGUAUAUUACAAUCUUAAUAACGAUAACUUGCGAUAAAUUAUGAGACGAGAAAAAGGAAAAAUAUGUUAUUUGUGGAAUUAGAUAGUAUCGUAGGUUGGCGGUGAUUGGAUCUUUAUUUACGAAGAUUUUAAUCGCCACAGCUUGAACUUUUUAUACGUUUCAUGCUUUCAGAGAAACGGAAAUCGGGCACGUAAACGUAUUACGAAAGUGUGGCGAAGACGGUGCAAGAGGAGGCUGCAAACUAAAGCCAUGGGGGAGAUAUUUUCUCCUUACUGUAUGUUGACGAUAAUAGAGAUUAUGAAUUAUUGUACAAAGUUAAUUGUAAUUCAGUUGGUUUGACUGUGAAAAUACGAAUUCGUCUAAAUCACUUUUUUCACUUCCUAAAGGUUCAUCACCUCAGUAGGCACCCUGUUUGUCUAUUCUUUCUCUCGACUUCUAUCAUUACUUCGAGAAAAAUUAUGAAACAGCAUACCGCGCCGUACAACACGUGUACGUACCUAAAACAACUACGCAUCGUUAUGAAUAUACUUCAUUUUCAGGGGUUGUCUUUCCGAAUCGUGUCUUUCCGCUCUGCUGUCGUUUCAUCGGAAUCAGAGGUGAUCUACCGUGUCUACUUUUAACAGGCCGAUAGAAUUCAGUGCUGCGGAAACACUCCCAGCCUCGAAAAUCGCUUCUCGUCUCUCGAGGCUGUUCAACUACGGCCAGACAUUGUUUCUUUCAUUUCGUUUUGAUUGUGAGAUUCGGCAGGACAAUCUGACGACAGAAUUGGACAUGUAGAAGUUCUGUUAUUUAUUGAGUGUCACAUUAUCAACUUGUUCCGAAUAAAGACGUUCUGUGGAAAGUUCGAAAGAUUGGGUAUAGUCUGUCAUUCUGGGAACUAUUUCCUUUCAACAUAUUUCUCUUUCCGCUAGAACGAAAAUAUACUUAAUACGUGUAUCGUAUGUGUAACUGAUUCUAAUACAUGCACGCGUAUAUUAUUUCUUAUUGUUGUUUUUUUAUUACUAUCUUAUUACGUACAUGUACAUAGACGAAACGGUUCAAUCUAUGUAUGUAUUUCACUUCAUUUAUAUUUUCCUCUUAUUGUACAAUACCAGUUCUAGGUAAAAAGAUAAAAAUGAUAGAAGAGGUACAUUGAUAAAUUUUGUCCCAGAAUGGCGGGCGAUAGCCACAUAUUGUUUCAACCAAUCACAGCUCUGACCGCUGUUGGACCUUAUCGGUCCCUUGCCUGAAGGCAGGCGAUUGUUUGGACCUACCGUCCUAAAGUCGAGGUACUUGUUUUAUUCCCAAUUAUAUUAAUUAGAAUUUUGAAAUAUUUUUCUAUGUGUUAUUCAAUAUUUUGUCGUUGAAUCGAUAGUUAAUCCUUUAUACGUUACGUCGAUCAUAUUUUUUUAAACGACCACUUGUUCGAAAGUAAAGUUUAGUUUGCAAAACGCAAUUGGUAAAUUAGAGAUAAAAUAGAUUGGGAACUAUCAUAACCUUGGCUGCGUGGACGCGUGGCUGGACCGAGAAACAAUAUCAAUUGUAAUCGAUAAUGAGUCGUGGGUAAAUCGUGUUAACUGACUCGAUCGUUCGAAAUGUUGGAACGAGAAAAUUCUUCCGAAGUUUUUUGCGAAUAAAACAACUUUUCCGUUCCUGACCUUUAUUUUGUUUUAUUGUUAUUAUUGUCGUUGUUGUUGUUAUUAUUAUUGUUAUUAUUAUUAUUAUUAUUAUUAUUAUUAUCAUCAUCAUCAUCACUACCAAUCACCAUUACUAUUAUUAUUAUUAUUUCAAAUUUAUUAUUUUCGUCAAGUAGCCUUCAGAAUUUUGUCAGUCGCCAAUCGCCAAACACUUGUAACGUAAUAAUUUACUCUGGAACGUUUCAAAUGCUGCUCAAAGCGGUAUAAGAGUCGGUGCCUUUCUUUUUUUCUCGUUCAACAAUUCGAUCGUUCGUAGAAUGCUUAGCUGGCUCUGUGUGUAUAUCGAUACACCUGUAUCUUACGUUGCGCAAGAAUCCUUCAUCAUCCUGUUCCUUUUUACGCUAAUAAUGUCUUUCCACUUGGUGACAGCGGAUGCACGAUUCGCUCGUGGGGAUCGCUUUGCUCGAAGAACCGGUAACACGGUGGCUCUUUGUCAUUCUAAUAUCUUUAUAGAGCGGCUCGAAGCACCGGAAAUUAAGUGCUACCUUUAAAACGAUAUUAGAAUUACCGACCUUCCACUUCACCAUAAUAUAAUUUCCUUAUAUUUUCUGUGUGUAUCUAUCGUUUCUAGAUUUUGUCUCUUCAUUAAGUAGUUUAUUGUAUGCGGAUUUGAUGGUCGAGUGACAGUGUAUAAGUCUUUUUUACACGAUACGAAAUUCAGUUGAACCGCAAUUUAUAGAAAAUUAGGUUAAAUCUGCGAUUCAGUUGAUUAUUAUUUGAAUCUAUUUGUACUUGUUUACUUUGAAAUUUGUUUAUCACUAUACGAUUUGUACGAUGCAAAUAUCGAAAUCGAAUUUUAGGUUGCACUUUAUUCCUGCACGGACCGCUUACAGAAAUUAGCAGUAGUUUCUACUCUUCUACAGCCUUGUUGUUUUCAGCUGACUGCGCCUGAGUAGAAUGGACAAUUGUUGUCAAAGGACUAUAGAGAGCAAUAGGUGAUACGUACACCUGUAUCUCGUUGAAAUAAUUAAUAAAUAAUAAUUGUUUGAUAA